GAUGAAGAACGUAGCGAAAUGCGAUAAGUAGUGUGAAUUGCAGAAUUCAGUGAAUCAUCGAAUCUUUGAACGCGCAUUGCGCCGCAUGGUAGUCCGUGGGGCAUGCCUGUUCGAGCGUCAUUUACCCCCUCAAGCUCCGCUUGGUGUUGGGCGUCUGUCCCGCUUCGCGCGCGGACUCGCCCCAAAGGUAUUGGCAGCGGUCGUGCCAGCUUCUCGCGCAGCACAUUGCGCUUCUCGAGGCACCGGUGGGCCCGCGUCCAUCAAGCUCACCCCCCCAGUUUGACCUCGGAUCAGGUAGGGAUACCCGCUGAACUUAAGCAUAUCAAUAAGCGGAGGA
rnacentral:misc_RNA from 1 species